rnacentral:rRNA from 1 species
CGGAGAAUGUUAUCACGGGAGACACACGGCGGGUGCUAACGUCCGUCGUGAAGAGGGAAACAACCCAGACCGCCAGCUAAGGUCCCAAAGUCAUGGUUAAGUGGGAAACGAUGUGGGAAGGCCCAGACAGCCAGGAUGUUGGCUUAGAAGCAGCCAUCAUUUAAAGAAAGCGUAAUAGCUCACUGGUCGAGUCGGCCUGCGCGGAAGAUGUAACGGGGCUAAACCAUGCACCGAAGCUGCGGCAGCGACGCUUAUGCGUUGUUGGGUAGGGGAGCGUUCUGUAAGCCUGUGAAGGUGGCCUGUGAGGGUUGCUGGAGGUAUCAGAAGUGCGAAUGCUGACAUAAGUAACGAUAAAGCGGGUGAAAAGCCCGCUCGCCGGAAGACCAAGGGUUCCUGUCCAACGUUAAUCGGGGCAGGGUGAGUCGACCCCUAAGGCGAGGCCGAAAGGCGUAGUCGAUGGGAAACGGGUUAAUAUUCCCGUACUUGGUGUUACUGCGAAGGGGGGACGG